rnacentral:rRNA from 1 species
UAGGGAAUCUUCCACAAUGGACGCAAGUCUGAUGGAGCAACGGCCGCGUGAGUGAAGAAGGUUUUCGGACCGUAAAGCUCUGUUGUUGGUGAAGAAGGAUAGAGGUAGUAACUGGCCUUUAUUUGACGGUAAUCAACCAGAAAGUCACGGCUAACUACGUGCCAGCAGCCGCGGUAAUACGUAGGUGGCAAGCGUUGUCCGGAUUUAUUGGGCGUAAAGCGAGCGCAGGUGGAAGAAUAAGUCUGAUGUGAAAGCCCUCGGCUUAACCGAGGAAUUGCAUCGGAAACUGUUUUCUUGAGUGCAGAAGAGGAGAGUAGAACUCCAUGUGUAGCGGUGGAAUGCGUAGAUAUAUGGAAGAAUACCAGUGGCGAAGGCGGCUCUCUGGUCUGCAACUGACGCUGAGGCUCGAAAGCAUGGGUAGCGAACAGGAUUAGAUACCCUGGUAGUCCAUGCCGUAAACGAUGAGUGCUAAGUGUUGGGAGGCUUCCGCCUCUCAGUGCUGCAGCUAACGCAUUAAGCACUCCGCCUGGGGGAGUACGACCGCAAGGUUGAA